rnacentral:lncRNA from 1 species
UCUUUUAAUUUCUCUUAUUUUAUUUAAUUCAUAUUAAAUCCAUUUUUAAUCCAAAAAAUAUGGGACUUUCGCAAAAAAUCUUUAAAUAUUUUCCUCUUCCAUAUUCUGAAUUAAAAUCAUUUUUUGGAUUAAUUUUGAUAUUUUUUGUGAAUUAAAUGAUUUUGGACUUGUUUUUAAAUACUUUAAAAUACUUCUGACUUUCCAAAAAUUCUGAAUUUUUUUGUCCUUUGACCUUGUUU